UGUAAGUAGAACACACAGCGCCGCACCCAUCAUAGCGUGCCUUAAGCCUCCUCCUUUCCCUUCCUCUCUUUGCGGGUCAUUUAUGAUCCAGACGGAGUGACUGUACUGAUGGGAACACUGCGGACACAUUCUGGUUGCGCGAUGUGCCUGCCUGGAGUGUGCCCUAAAGGAUAACACGUAUCAGCAAUCCUCCUCUUGGCCCAUUGGAGUGGGAAUAGCUGCUGUUUUCCUUCCAGAUGUUCCUGAAGAGCCAAAAGGGCUCUUCGAAGUAA